rnacentral:lncRNA from 1 species
AGCUCAUCUUCAUAGAGAAGAAUAUUCGUGCUGGCUACCUAAGAAGAGCCAGCCAAGAACAUAGUACGGACUUGUACAAUCUGCCCGCAUUUUCCUUACAUUUUUCAGCCAUGUCCUAGUUCUCGUCUUCUGUUCCGGUCAAGUUUCUAGCUCUUCCUUCACAUACAAAGAAAAUGCAUUGCUUUACCUUGGACAACAAAAGUCUCAGUUAACUAGAUGACAUGAUCAUCAACGCUUGAAAAACUUUUACCAAAUUCAGAAUUAACAACUUUCACAGGACAUACAAUGCACAAUUCUAACAUCAAUAAAGCAAAAUGUCAAAAACAUGCACAAAAUUCAAAGCAACUACUCAAAAGCCAAAGAAUUGUCCACAUACAGCGUAAUCAGUAACCACACAGAUAAUCUUCAACUAGAAUACAUGAUAUGGAAUCAAAUUACAAAUUAAAGCAUUGACUCCAAUGAGAAAAUAUAUAUGCAUAUCUAAAAAGACGAAGGGUGGAUUAAAAACGUAGUACCCGGCUACGAGACACGAGCCAUCCUCAUACCGUUUCUGGAGCCGAAAUGUACAGGGCCGGCCCGCUGCGGAAGCAACCUAAGCGACCGCGUAGGGCAUAACGUGUUUCAUUUUUUACAGCUAAAUUUGUCAAUUAAUUUUUUUUUUUAAAUCACCCAGCUGAUUAAAAUGCACAUUUUAAUUUUGGAUUAGGGCCUUGCAUGCAGAGGCUCGUCAGAAAAAUAGGAGAAGGCUUGUAGGAAGAGAUAUAAUGGGUGUAUAUGGUGGGGUAUUGGCCGUCGACAGAUUGAAAGUCAUAAAAGUUUGACUUGUCGGAGUGGCUACGACAUAGAGAUGUCGGAGUGGCUACGACGUAGUACGACAGACGGUGGCCGCCGAAAACUGCAUCCAAACAGUUUUUUUGUCAAUUUUUUUUUAUAACAGCAUAUCUUUAUGGAUAUCAAAUC